GACGAACCGUGCGAACGUUGUUCGGAAUCACUGGGCUUAAAGGGCGCGUAGGCGGGUGUGCAAGUCUGUGGUGAAAGCCUCCAGCUUAACUGGAGAAGUGCCAUGGAUACUGCACAUCUUGAGGAGGGUAGGGGCACCUGGAACGGUCGGUGGAGCGGUGAAAUGCGUUGAUAUCGACCGGAACUCCGGUGGCGAAGGCGAGGUGCUGGACCCUUUCUGACGCUGAGGCGCGAAAGCCAGGGGAGCAAAGCAGG
rnacentral:rRNA from 1 species